UUGAAUCCCUUUUUUCUCUCAACUCUCUCUGAAAUUCUUACGAACCCUUGCCGCCUCCAUCAAACUACACUCUAAUCUAUCCUAAACCCUGCAUAAUCCAUGGCCUCCCAUGGCCAUUGGAGAUGUGUAGUGGCCUCCUAUGGCUCUUGGGUAUAUUUUUCUAUGGUUUCAUGGCUAGUCCUUGAAGGAAUUUGGUCCAGUCCUUGCUGGACUGCUGUCCAUGGCUUUUCUCCGGUCAUCCCCGACCUUUCUCCGGUCAGCCAUGACUGUUCGAGUUGGAUCCUUGACUCCCCUGGUUAGAUCGGUAACUUUCAU
rnacentral:lncRNA from 1 species